AGCCCAAUGAGGAAGCUCACCCAAAUGAUAGGAAGUGCCGUAUGACACAUUCCAGCAGCCGCUUCCCUCUUGCCCGAUCCCUUUAGGGGUCUAGGGUUCGGUUGCCGUGGUUGAUUUGUCACGGGUCGCUGAGGGCU